rnacentral:piRNA from 1 species
UGAAGAAAAGACCCAUGCACACAGGACACAG